rnacentral:rRNA from 1 species
UACAGAGGUCCCCAGCGUUGUUCGGAUUCCCUGGGCGUACAGGGUGCGUAGGUGGUGCGGUAAGUCGGAUGUGAAAGCUCGGAGCUCAACUCCGAAAUGGCAUUGGAAACUACCUUGCUCGAGGGUUGGAGGGGGGACUGGAAUACUUGGUGUAGCAGUGAAAUGCGUAGAUAUCAAGUGGAACACCAGUGGCGAAGGCGAGUCCCUGGACAACUCCUGACACUGAGGCACGAAAGCUAGGGGAGCAAACAGG